AUUGAACGCUGGCGGAAUGCUUUACACAUGCAAGUCGAGCGGCAGCGCGGGGGCAACCCUGGCGGCGAGCGGCGAACGGGUGAGUAAUACAUCGGAACGUGUCCUUAAGUGGGGGAUAGCUCGGCGAAAGCCGGAUUAAUACCGCAUAAGCUCUGAGGAGGAAAGCGGGGGCUCCGUAAGGACCUCGCGCUGUUGGAGCGGCCGAUGUCGGAUUAGCUAGUUGGUGGGGUAAAGGCCCACCAAGGCGACGAUCCGUAGCUGGUCUGAGAGGAUGAUCAGCCACACUGGGACUGAGACACGGUCCAGACUCCUACGGGAGGCAGCAGUGGGGAAUUUUGGACAAUGGGGGCAACCCUGAUCCAGCCAUUCCGCGUGAGUGAAGAAGGCCU
rnacentral:rRNA from 1 species